ACAUGCCAGCGCUUGUACCAAGUGCGGCCCUGGUCUAUGUCUUAUAAUCUGGAGUUGGGAACACUUUGUAUUAUACUCCUGUCUGGUGAUCGACCGAUCGGUUGCGUACAAGAAAAACCGGAAGCGCGUAAACGGACCGCGCCAACAAAAAAAGAGAGUGCGGGUGUGGAUAAUAUGGACAAAACUGUAUUUUGCUUACCCCCUUGAUUCUUUUGUAUGUAAAAUGUGGGCACUGUCAGACCUCACUGUGUGAUCAAAUCCUCUCUGUCCUGUCCUGUGUCCUGUCCUGAAGGUGCCUCUCGUUGUGGAUGAAUAAACAGCAAAUAACUUUGCAUAUGACUGGCCCCACCUGUUGAUGAUUGGUAAUUAAACGACGGUAAUUAUUGUGAUGAAUAAUUCUUUGAAGGCUGUAUUUUAUUUCACGUACAUCUCUACAUACGUGCAUGUUUGUAUUGUACGUGUAUUUGUAGUUGGUAUUUAUACACCGUACCUGACAUGGUACUGGGGCGAAGGGAACCGUAGAGAUAAAGUGCAAUCAUUCAUGUUCAAGUCCAUGUUUGCUCCGUAAAAAAAAGGACAGGCUGUGGUGUUGAAAUGUUAUUUUCUGAAUAAUGUCCCUCUUACACAUGCCAUAUAUGUUGUGGUCAGUUAAUAAGGAAUGUGGUACAUGCGUAAUCACAAAAGUGAAAUAUUAAAGUCAAACCUUUUUUAUCUAAAAAAACUUUUUUUUGUAUUAUCGCAAACUGUUGACUGAAAAUCGGGAUGUUUGGGUACUUUAGAAAAAUAGCUAGGAGCUCAGGCAAAAGAAGAAAUAAGACAAACGGGCGUCGAAAAUGGAACGCUAUACAAAAGUUAAAUUUUCAAAAAAAUUUGGGGUGAGAGAGGCUCGAACUCUCGACCUCAGGAUCACUCACGUCUAGCUAUGAGACCUACGCGCUAGCCAACUGCGCCACCACCCCUCUGGUGUUUUGCUGGUAAUGUGAAUUUAUUUAUACAUUACUAAAUGUUAAACAAAUCUUGUCUAAAAAGCAAGAUCAAAUCAUAUAGUUUCUCAUGUUAGAUGUACCUAACCAGGAAACUGGUAUCCUCUCCCGGUGAAGUGUGCCACGGAUUGCCCUCACUCCACGCUCCUCCUGUCAUGAUCGAGAUGCAAACUCCUCUGCAAAAAAAUGCUCUUCUUUGGCACUUCACUUUCUACCCGUAUCACAAGUCUCAAACGACUCUAAAAAGAAACAUCUUUUCUUGACCGGCCACUCGAGCUUACUCGCGAAGUAGAAACAAGGUAGCCCAUAAUUUACGGUUUUGAGGUUUGGUAAGUCGCCCAAACUUGCAAGAUCCGAUCACCUCAAAUUUGGGGUCACCAUUAUACCAGCAUAUAAUCUCCCUUCCAAAAGCACCAGCUCCGAUCACCCCAAACCUCCCGACGUUCUUCUUCAGAGGCACCCAAUGGACCUCGAGCAUGGCAAGAAGCCCCCUGCCAUCGCCGCUGCGGAGCUGUGCUCGCUCAAGGACAAGCUCGUCGGCCUGCGCCCGGUCCUGCUGCGAGCGGCGGCGGUCCUGGCGACGGCGGUGGCCGCGGUGGUCAUGGGGCUCAACAGGCAGUCCUACACUGCCGUGGUGGCCAUUGUGGGCACCAGGCCGCUCAGACAGACCUUCACUGCCAAGUUCAGCGACACGCCUGCGUUUGUGUAGGGCCCUCCUUGCUUUGCUUGCUUGCUGCCAUUACCUGUGAAAUUUACUGACAUGUUGUCUCUGUGACGGUAAACCGUCGAUUUUGCAGGUACUUUGUCAUAGCCAAUAGCAUUGCCAGUCUGUAUAACCUGGUGGUGCUGCUCCUCAGAAGGUGUAUUGUCCAGGGAAGGGCCCAGCAUUUGGUAGUGCAUAGGAUGGACAUGGUAAUUUCUUUUCUCUUAAUCAUAAUUUACCGACUAAAUGACACUUAAAAUUAUCUAUAAGCUGGCCAUUAUUUACUCAAAGAAAACCUCACGCAGUAGUAGUUUCACACUUUCAUCAGAGUAAGUACAUUUGAACUGUUCCUCAUAAACAUAUUUUAGUAGCGCGGAUAUCGAAUAGAUCUACGAGAGAAGCAACCAACUCAAUCUAAGAAAGUGUGUUGAUCUUAAAUGAAGUUUUCCCUACACAAUCCAGGCAGAUCUGACAAAUUUGGAGCCUUCUGUUGGUGCUACUAUGAAAACACAGCACUCAAUCUAAUCAAGAAUCUUCUUGCAACUAUCCACAACCAGUGGCUUGAGUGAAAAACUGCUGGUGCUGUGCUGCACUUGUAUUGUAGACACCUAGUACUGUAGCAUAUCUGGCAAACACAUGAUAUUUUUUUCCUCCUCCUUGCACUUUCAGUGUCCCAAAUAAGAUAAUCAUGGUUGUACUGGCCAUUACUUAUACAAAACCUCAUCCAGUAGUAGUGUCACACUUCCAUCAGAGUAUCUUUGGACUGUUUCUCACAAAAAUAUUUUAGUGGAGUAACCAACUUAGACUAAGUGUAUUGAUCUUAAAUUUAGAUGCUCCUACACAAUCCAGGGAUAUCUGAUAAGUUUCGAGCCUUAUGACGGUGCUACUAUAAAAACACAGCACUCGAUCUAAUCAAGAAUCUUUUUGCAACUAUCCAGAACCAGUGGCUUGAGUGAAACUGCUGGUGCUGUACUUUGUAUUGUAGGCACCUACUACUGUGGCACAUCUGGCAAAUUUCAAACCAGUAUUAACGGACGGCAACACAUGAUAUAUUUUCCUCCUUGUGCUGUCAAUGUCCCAGGUAAUCAUGGUUCUAUUGGCCACCGGUGCCGCGACAGCGGCUUCGAUGGCCGAGUUAGGCAAGAAUGGUAACUUGCACACGCGUUGGAACCCGAUAUGCAACAAAUUUGGUUCCUUCUGCAACCGUGGAGGUGUAUCUCUCGUGUUCUCGUUUGUCGGCGUUGCGCUCAUGCUAGCCAUGAACUUGCUCUCAGCUGCAGCCAACUCUCCCCGUGCCGUCGUCGCAGGCCAAUGAGCACUAGUACCUCAGCUCAGACAGCUGAUACCCAAGAGUACACUACACUGCUUAUGUCACUGGGAUGUGAAGUGAUGUGAGCCAGUAUGGUUGCAUGUGGGAGCUGGAUCUCAGGAGGAAGUGUGCUCAAGGCUGCAAGUGUGCUGAAUUUGGUGUACAACUGUAUAUCACCUUGCCUGGCCUGAAAUGUGCAGGCAGAUAAGCCCUGGUUGGUUAUGGGGCUUUAACUAGAUCAGCUCUUACAUUAGAUCAAGUUGUUGCACCAUUCAAUUCUACUACUUUGUGGUUGUAAACCAGUACUCACAACUGUCCCGGCAUUUGGCCGCAUUUGCUCAAUUGGAUGAUACAUCGCAUCGUUCGAGAAGUAUGUCUGGUGAGGUUUGGUCUUUCACAACAGUUUGUACCUGUUGUACUGCAUGGAACCCUUGUUUUAUUACCUGAAUAGUGAAGUUGUUUGGAGUUGCUUGAAAUGAUGCAUCCAGCACCAGCCUUAGUUAUGGACUUAAUGGGGCAAAAAUUCAGGAGUUGGUCAGUUGAUGUAGAUUUAUCGGAGAAGGAGCACAUGCAUGUGAGCCUACCAGGCAUCUCCGCAAAAAUUCAGUCAACAUGCAACUAGGAGCUAAGUGAUUACCACCGGUGCAGCACAUCAGCCUAACAAUCUAUGACAACCACAACCUAGUCAUAAUUCUGAGUUGCCAUGGAUUUUUCCUUUUAAAAAGAACUAGUAUUAGGUGAUAAAAUUUGCAUUAUCUUCAGUUCAAUUUAGUCUAUACAUUGGUAGUGAUCCUUCUGUCUGCGUUUAAUAUUAUCUACUUAGCUUCAAGAUCAUUAAACUUUUCUGAAAUUUGAGCGGUUUGAGUAAAAAAUAACAUAAAAUUUGGGACCAUAAAUCAUGUGUUAAUAUGUUUAAAAGUAAAUAAAUCAUGUGUAAAGAUAAGAGCAGAUAGGGUUACCUAGCAGCUGCCUAGAUUCACAGCUUGUCCUUUGUUUUUGUUUUUUUUAAACACAGUACAGACACAAACGCUCAUAUACACGCGCAUACACUCAUCCCUAUAAACGCACACACGCACACCCUAAACCUAUGAGCACCUCCAAAAGACUGAGCCGGCAUAUCAUCUUGAAAUUUAUGAAGUCACCGUAGGCACCUCUAACCAUCCAACCACAGGUUGGUUCGCGCUUGUCCUUUGUUUCUGCACUCUACUCUUUCCACAUUAUUGGUAUGGAUGUACAAGACUUGUUGCUAUACGCAUAUGGUACUAGUAUUCAUGACAUGAGGUACCCUGAAAGGUGCCAUCAAGCAGAGAAGGGUGGUCACUCUCACUCAUGGAGCUGGCCAGCAUAUGAAGAACAGGGCACUGAAAGAAAAACAGGGCCUUUCAGCAUACUGUUCCUCAGUUUGUGUGUCGUCAAUUGCAUAAAUAUCGCUGGUGAUCCGCAAAAUAAUGAACCCUCAAAUGAAAACUAUGACGUUUUGCACAUUGACAAGAUCUCCGAAAGUGUAACUUUGACCGUUAGUUUCUACUAUAAUAUAAUAAUAAAACAUAUAAAUAAAUAUUAUAGUAUAACAAAGUUCGAGGGGGAAAUCUACGCAUACCAUUUCUACACGCUCAAUAAAGAUAUUUUAGAAGUAUUGUGGUAAAAAAUAAAAUAAUAUGUUAGUAUCAUACUGUGUGAAAAAAAAUACUAUUCCUCGAUUUGUGUGUUGUAAUUUGCAUCUGUCGCUGAAUUAAUAUACUCCCGCCAAUCUAGUUACUAUUUUUUCGACAAUGACAAAGUCUCCCAGGUGUAACUUUGAGUUAGCCUCUACUAGUACAAUAUAACUAUAAAACCUAAAUAAUAUUACAUGAUAUACAAGAAUUUUGAGGAGCACAUCUAUGCAUAGAUCCACAUAUCCAAAAAAAAAUAUUUCAAAAAGUAAUGUGGUAAAAAUGUAAAAUUUUAGACCGAAACUAUAUCUAGAACGUCAAUGUUUUGUGGAUCGGAUGGAGUAGCCGUAAUCCCAAAGUAAAAUGGGUUGCGUGCACAAUACAUAUUCUCUUAUUUUCCGCACGUACUACCAAAAGAGGUGCAGUUUUUAUUGUAGUACUACAUGUUAUAUCAUGAUGAAGACUCAUGGAUGGUUAUUAAAAAUAAUCGUAACACAUUGUGUGUGCAACCACGCAACAUAGUCCCAUGAUACUUUUCAAAAUGAAUUUCACCGGCACCUGUUCUGCAUCUGGACUGAUUCUGAUUUUUUGCACAAGCUCCAAUACUGGCACAGUACUAUUUAUGUGGAAUUAGUUGUGGAAUCAGUUGAAUUAAUUUGUUUUUGGAACUGUGAUAAGCAUGCCGAUGAGGCUAGUGAGGAUGCGUUCUCAAUCAACCAUGAUGUUCAUUGAGGGAAGAACAUUCAGAAUUCCAGACACAAAAAAGGACCGUCAGGGGGACAUAAAUGAUCUGAUCUGUCAGAUCACUGCAACCUGUACUUCUGAAUGUACAUACUUCAGCAAUCAUUAGAGUGUUCUCCAAAAAAAAAAUCAUUCCAGGGUUUUAGUCCUCCAAAAUCGACUGGAGAAAAAGAAAAUCACCGCGUCCUCUACUAAAUACUCACACUCAAGAAACAUUGCACCAAACAGACAUAAUUAUACAUUUUGAUAUGAAAUCAUCACACACACACACACACACACUGCAGAUUAACUACUAGCUAGCCAGUUGUCUGCUUAUGUUUUCUGGAUAAAUAAGCAAAUUCGCCUAGAAGUGGUUCCAAGUAGAGCUCACUGCAGCAGCCAUCUGAGGAGACAUGCUCGGCACCACCUCACCACCCAUGGAGCUCAGCUGGCUCAGCACUGCCUUAAGGACCUUCUUGUCACAGUUCAUGGCGGGGUCUAGGUAGCUCCCAAAGUCAGGCAGGCCAUGGUCCAGGUAGCUCAUGCCAUUACUGUUGCCUGUCACCAUGGGGAGGUAGCUGCUGUUGCUGGCACUGUUAUUACUGAAGCUGGAGAAGCAGGGCACUUGCUCAAGUGCUGCGGCGGCGGCGGCGGCUGAGGAGGUGUUCAUGGUGGCCUGGAGCUGUGCUAGGGUGGUGUCCAUGAGAGGUGGCAGUGGCGGUGAGGAGGUGUCUGUGGAUGUGCCAUGGACAAUGUUGGUGAGGUUCCUUGGCCUGGGGGUGGCACCAACUCCUGAUUUCUUCUUGCAGAUGACUCUGCACAGGACCCAGUCCUCCUGCUGAAAACACAUGGAGGAUCAAGAAGAGAGCAUUGAUUGGUCAGUAGUUCAAUGGUAGGUGCAGUCUUACAAGGUGAUGUGAAUGAGAUCUUGGUGAUCACUGUCACUGUACUUGCUCUUGGGUGCAUCACUUGUCACAGUGAAGUGAUGUGGACAGGACCAUCCUAUGUAACCCUAAUUGGUUCAUGCAUCCAAUCAAGCAUUUUUCCUUUUUCUUUUGGGGAAUUGAUAAGAUUUACCUUUUACAUUUUGGUUACUUUUUUUGGUCACCUCUUUUUAUUUGGAUUGGAUAAGCUUUACCUAUUUGCAGCUUGCCAAGAAUCUUCUUCUUUUUUUAGGCAAGAAAGCUGGCUAAGAAUCUAACUAAUCCACUUCACUAUCCUGGAUUAUAGGUGACCAACUUGUUUGCAAAGUCAUCACAAGGUUACAUAUGAAAUUCAUUAAGAACUUUGUCAGAAUCGUAUAUUUAUUCCUGGUCUCUAUCAGUUGUAAGUAUGUUUUAGAGGAGCGCAUUUGCGUGACUGCAUCCAUGUGGUGGUGUGUCUACUUUUAUGCUUAAUCGCAAGACAAAUCAUAACAUCAAGAAAGUUUAGUGCUUCUACUAUCUUUUUAAACAAUGUUAAACAUGAACUUCAUUGAACUAUUUGAACAAUAAAAAUCAUUGAACUAUUUGAGAAGAAAGAAAAUGGUACUUCAAGUAGUUGGUAUAUGUUGUCAUUAUCCAUAACAGCUAACCAAUACUAUAUGUUAACAUCAGCCCACCAUUUUCCUUUUAUUUAUUUUAAAAAUUAGAACAAAUUAGUCCUUAUUAAAUAGGACGUCUACCGCAACAAAACCGGUGGAUGAAAAUGACCAGUCCCCCUAGAAAAUUAAUUGGCAAGUAGCAACCAAUAAGUAGAUGGAUUUUUUUAUUUUGAAUAUAAAUAAAUGAAUAGAAAGUGACAGGUCAAGAAGUCCAUCUCAUGUGUACAGUACGUCAAACUUGAAAACAACUAUUAAAUACAAGCUUAUACACUGCAAGAAAUCUCCUAUACGAUUGGUUGUGCCCACCCAAUUUGUACCUACCUAGGUCAUAGCUAUGCAGAUGAAUAUGUUUUGCAUAACGGAAAAUAAAUAAAUCAAUCGAUGGUUUUGCACACCACUACUCACUGAACAUUACAUAUGAUAUAUUCAUUUGUUUCAUGCAUGAUCUAGGGUUUUAGUGGCAGCUUAUUACCUUGGAAGCUUGCUCAUGUGCACCCUCCAACCUGUAUUCAUGCAUCACCCACUCAGUCUUCCUCCCUUUAGGGGCCCUCCCUUGGUAGAACACCAAUGUCUUCCUCAUCCCCACUAGGGCGCCUCGUCGUGCCACCACCCUAUCCUUCCCGGUCGCCUUCCAGUAUCCCGACACAGUAGCUCGGUUCGUGCGCUGCCCCGUCGCGUAUUUCCGAUCCUUUAGGCUAUAGAAAUACCAUUCCUUGCCGCCCACCGAUGCAGUCACUGAUAAGAAACGAAAGAUAGUAUAAAGAUACCAACAUGAUAAAGAAAGAUAUUAUCAGAAGUAGUAGCCGCUAAGCUAUCAAACUGGUCCCACAAAUAAACGACGGCAAAGCCCUAAAAAAGCUUGAGGUACCACAACGGGGGUUUCUCCAUCAUGUGUUCUAUCCUUUUGACGGUGACAUUGACACGUUUCGAUAAAACCGCGCAUCCAAGAGACGGAACAGACCACGUCGAUCUCAUCGACCCUCCCCCCACCUUCUUUUUUUUGUCACAACUGGCCCCUUUUAAUGGAAGUCGGCUUAUUUACCACUAGAAAUAAUCGAUGAGCAAGUGGUAGAACUAGAGGUUAGAGGGAGACAUGCCAUCCUAGAUGUAUCAAUCAAGACGUGUAUGGCCCAUGCUGAUCCUCUGCAGUGGAGCCCACGAGCAUGCAAGAUGGGAUUGUGCAGUUUGUCGGGAUUAGACAGGGAGAGGGCACGCGUCCCAGGGUGACGUCAUAAUUGGUCCGGUAAUACUGGCUUAAUAAAUUAAGUACGAUCCGUUAAUAAACUGUACAGGUGUCGUGGUGUAGUUGGUCUAGCACGUCGGCUUUACACGCUGAAGAUCUCCGGUUCGAACCCGGACGAUGCCACAAUUUUUUUGUGCUCCUUUUUUAACCUAAAUAGGUGAUGAUGACGUCAUACCAUAUAUGCUUGUUGCAUUAACACAAUCGAAAGGUGUCGUGGUGUAGUUGGUCUAGCACGUCAGUUUCACACGCUGAAGAUCUCCGGUUCAAAUCCGGACGACGCCAAAUUCUUUUUUGCUGGGUUGUUUAUUCUAGAAUUACUAUUACUGUUUUUCAUUUCCCUUUUUCCCACUGAACUUUGAAAAAACAAUUGCCUACUGAACUUGGUAAUGGUGAUGGUAGAUUGUGCAGCAGUAAUUUAAAGGCUGAAAUUAUAUUUUUUCCCAUAAAGUAGUGCAUACAUUUAAAUUGUGAAUUUUCACAAAAAAAAGAUUUAAAGGAUAGACUUUGGAAAUAAAAUAAAUAGCAACAGAAGGAAUGUUGAACCACAUGUGAACUAAGUAGAUCUUUAAAAUUUUCCUCACAUCGUCUCACCAUCUUUUUUUUCCGGAACAAGCAUUAUUUGUCUUGUCUACAACACAUUAUGGUUGAUCUAUAUAUUUAGAAGACAGAAAUUGUAUGCAUAAAUAUAGCGUGUAAUUACUAAGAUCUAUAUAUUUAGAAGGCCUGAAAUUUCAGUACCAGCCUUGGAGUAAAUGGAAGAUCCCUGCUCUAUAUGCACUUUUUUCAUGAAUUCUUAUUGGAACACAACGAUACAAAUUAUCGCAAAAUAUAUAGGUGUGUAUAAAUAAUAGUUUCUGCAUAUUACCCCCUAGCUAGAUCAAAGGUUUCUAUUCUUAUAUGCAUAAAAGUAUAACAUGGUGCUCAGCAUGCGCGUCGCUAGCUAGAGAUCAUACAUUGACCAAGGGGGACACGAAAUAAUAGUUUCUGCACAAUACACCAAAUUAGAUAGGAUAAGUUACUAAAAAUAUACGCACGUAAGCUUAGAGAUCAUUUUUUCUUUCACAUAAUAUAGAAGAUAAAGAAAACUACAUAUGCAUCUGAAGGUGGGAAAAUGAUUUGGGGAGCUGGAAUUGUGAAGGACAAGAAAAAGAUUCUAGAUUCGAGUUAACCACACUUUUUCUAGCAAAGUGGAAUUGGUAAAGGCUAUAACUCUUUCAUUUUUGGAAGUCCCCCACUUGACAUAUUCCUCUAUCAGAGCCUAACCAGAAAGCGACCCCCGUUUCAGACUGCCACUUCAAAGAUCAAAGAUCCUUUAAAAAAAUAUGCACGCGCAUGAUCAAUCGAUAAGAUUGCAAAUAGCUAUGGAACAUAUAAGAAAAAAUCACUAGCAGUUCCAGUUUAUGGGCCAAUUGCAUGCCUACUAGAACUAUUCUUCUGUGAAGCUUCAAAGAGUACUCCAAGUCAAGUAUUAAUAGUUAAUUUUUCAAACUUCAAAGACGGUUUCCGGUUCCGAAAGUUUAUAAUAAAUCAGAUUCGCUUGGAUUUCUAUGAGGGAGAAAGAACUCCGAGCGUAGAAGAAACGCUGGAGUUUCUUUUUCAUCUUGUCCUUGAUAGAAAUGAGAUAAGACAAAAGGGUGCAGUUUAGUGUGCAUGCUAUAUGUGCACAACACAUUGCGGGCUUUGGCAUGUUUCUUAGCACGGAAGCAACACCAACGGGGGGAAAUAAAAGGAGAACAAAAUCAAAGGGAUGGAACGAAAAAAGUUGGAUUGAACAGAAAAGGCCAAGAACGUUGCAUGUGGGACACAUUUUCUCUCUCCACCGUCCUCUCUCUCUCGCUCGAUCGAUAUGCAUCCAUGCAAGAUCGUACAAGGAAUUCUUGAUUGCGUCUAAUUAAUACUAGUCACUUCACAUCGGUGCAAAGUAGAGAGAGAGAGAGAGAGAGAGAGAGAGAGAGAGAGAGAGACGUACCAGGGAGGUCCCAUGGCUCGACCUUGUUGAGGUCGACGUCGACCAUGGGCGGGCGGCGGCCGGAGAAGCCGACCUUGCCGGUGACCUUGGGCGCGAGGUAGUCGCAGAUGAGCUCGUCGUCUCUCGGGUGGAACCGGAACCCCGGCGGCAGCUCCGUCUCCACCAUGCUCAGGAAGCUCAUCGACAUCUCUCUCUCUCUAUCUCUUUGCUGAUGCGACGAGAGAGGAACACGCAGUAGAGAGAGAAACGGAACGGGGCAAGCAAGCAAGAGAGAGAGAGAGGGGGGUGGAGUUGUGCUUGUGUCAUGAGUUCGCAACUUGUGAAGAAAGAGAGGUUUAUAAGGUGGUUUAGGUGGUGGGUCUACCUCAAGCCUUUUCCUCUUCACCUAUUAUUCCUUUUUCUUUAUUUCCAUUUCGCCUUUUCUUUCCACAAAUAAGAGGAGCAGCUUCCAUGUCAGCACAAGAGACGACCGGCCACAAGCUAGCUCCACGCAUAUGCAUAUGCAUAUGCCACUAGCAACAGAUUUUUUUUCUACAUUUUUCUCUCAAAGUAAUAAGAAAUUGUUCUAAAAAAGAGGGGGCAAAAAGGAAUAUCAUCUUGGAUAAGUGGAACUGAAAAAGGCUGAAUUGCUAGCUAUCCAACACCAAAGAUAACCAACUGGAUCCACUUGUCAAUGUGUGGCUAUCCUAGCUAGUACUCCUUUCAGUAAAAUGUUAAAUGCCAUUUCAGGAGGAAAACAAAAAAAAAAAA
rnacentral:lncRNA from 1 species